UACGUAGGGUGCAAGCGUUGAUCGGAAUUACUGGGCGUAAAGCGUGCGCAGGCGGUUUUGUAAGUUUGUCGUGAAAUCCCCGGGCUCAACCUGGGAAUGGCGAUGAAGACUGCAAGGCUAGAAUCUGGCAGAGGGGGGUAGAAUUCCACGUGUAGCAGUGAAAUGCGUAGAGAUGUGGAGGAACACCGAUGGCGAAGGCAGCCCCCUGGGUCAAGAUUGACGCUCAUGCACGAAAGGCGUGGGGAGCAAACAGGAUU
rnacentral:rRNA from 1 species